rnacentral:tRNA from 1 species
UCUGGUAUAGCUUAGAGCGUGUGGCUGUUAACUACAAGGUCGGAGGUUCAAGCCCUCCUUCUAGCG